rnacentral:rRNA from 1 species
UACGAAGGGGGCUAGCGUUGCUCGGAAUGACUGGGCGUAAAGGGCGCGUAGGCGGUUUGUACAGUCGGGCGUGAAAUCCCCGGGCUUAACCUGGGAAUUGCGUCCGAAACUAUGGAGCUGGAGUGUGGCAGAGGGAGGUGGAAUUCCACGUGUAGCGGUGAAAUGCGUAGAGAUGUGGAGGAACACCGAUGGCGAAGGCAGCCUCCUGGGCCAACACUGACGCUCAUGCACGAAAGCGUGGGGAGCAAACAGG